CCUACGGGUGGCAGCAGUGAGGAAUAUUGGUCAAUGGACGGAAGUCUGAACCAGCCAUGCCGCGUGCAGGAAGACGGCUCUAUGAGUUGUAAACUGCUUUUGUACAAGGGUAAACCUGAAUACGUGUAUUCAGCUGCACGUACUGUACGAAUAAGGAUCGGCGAACUCCGUGCCAGCAGCCGCGGUAAUACGGAGGAUACAAGCGUUAUCCGGAUUGAUUGGGUUUAAAGGGUGCGUAGGCGGAGUGAUAAGUUAGAGGUGAAAAGUCCGAGCUUAACUCGGGAACUGCCUCUAAUACUGUUGAUCUAGAGAGUAGAUGCGGUAGGCGGAAUGCAUGGUGUAGCGGUGAAAUGCUUAGAGAUCA
rnacentral:rRNA from 1 species